GAUGAAGAACACAGCGAAAUGCGAUACGUAAUGUGAAUUGCAGAUUUCAGUGAAUCAUCGAAUCUUUGAACGCACAUUGCGCCCGCUAGUAUUCUGGCGGGCAUGCCUGUUCGAGCGUCAUUUCAACCAUCAAGCCCUAGGCUUGCGUUGGAGCCCUGCGGCUGCCGCAGGCUCCCAAAUCCAGUGGCGGGCUCGUCGUCGUACCGAGUGCAGUAAACAUCCUCGCUCAGGGAACGUGACGGGUUCUUGCCGUGAAACCCCCCACAUAUCAAGGUUGACCUCGGAUCAGGUAGGAAUACCCGCUGAACUUAAGCAUAUCAAUAAGCGGAGGA
rnacentral:misc_RNA from 1 species